CAUGGCAGAUGAACACAGCUCUAGAGAGCUGGCUCAGGGUAGUGCUGCUGACACACAUCGCAGGAGGAAGGCUGGAUGCAGCAGCGGAGAGCCGUGUUUAAUAUAAAACAUUGCAUCCAAUGCUGAGUUUAUGGGCUGGCUGCAGAAAAACUACCUUCAGUGGCUAAUUUACCCAAGCCGGAGAGCUGAAAGAAGAUAUUAGUAAGAAAUUAAUCUCAGAUGAGAAACUAAGGUACAGAGAGGUUAAGUAAUAUGCCCAAGAUCACACAGCUGGUAAAUGUCGGAACCAAGAUUUGAAUCGUCUGGAUCCAGAGCAUGUGCUCUUCACUGUUGUACUGUAUUGCCUCAUUGUAAAUCCUUAACACGUGGAAAUAUUUCAUUACAGCAACAACAAGACAUUAUUAAAAAAAUAGUUGCCGUGUUAGCAAUAAUAAUAAUUGUGGCAUUAAUUGUACUUAUAUUUUUAAAGGUUGAGUGGUGGUUAGACGGGGACAAGUAUAUGUCAGUUCAUAGGAAGAUGUUUUGGUUAUAAAGCCCAAAACUGAUUUUCCUUGCUCUAGCAGAUAAUAUCCUCGUGUUUCAUUUUUAUGAUUGUUCCCUAUAAAUUUCCUAAAAUACGCAUUGAAAAACAGCUUCUUUUGUAAAUGCUAAUGCCUUGCUCUAUUCGAAUUUCAUGUCAGUCUUCAAAUUUCUCUUUGGAUCCAGAGCAGUUUUCUUGUUUCUUCUGGGUCCCGUGUGAUCAUAAUCAUUACUGAUAGUUAAAGUUUGAAGUUUGGAAUAUACAUUUCAAAAGAAAAGUGCUACAUGAUUUAAAGAAUAAAGCGCAAUUAAAUUUAGAAUGGCCAAUUGCCUUUUAUCACUUUCUCUGCGUGCUGUGCACUAACAAAAGAUGCAGUCCAACUGGUGUAAUUACUUCUAAGACAUUGAACAAAAUACUCCGGUCAAUGUGUGCCUACAUUUCCUAGGACAGCCAAAUAAUUGCUGAUGGAAUUUGUUGUGGACAAUGUUCCUGAGUUAGGGAAAGUACUACAUAUUUUACCAUAGUAAGACUUUUCUAUUUGGUUUUCCUAGCUGUUACUCAGCUGUUGGCUCUGACAGCUUAAUUAGAGGGCUAUUUGGUGUUAACUAAAUCAGUGAAGAAGUUACAAAUAGGGGUGCAAAAAUUAGGGCAUCAAGAAAUGAAAAAAAAAAUCAAACUUGUUAAAAGUAGUUAGGAGGGGAACAAAGAGAAAAGCAGUGCCUUGUGGGAAUUAUCAAGAGUUUAUUCAGGAAAAUACAUAUCUACCUUUUUGAAACUAAUCAUUUUAAAUAGAGAAUUCAUCAGUCUUUCUAUAGGAAUACACAAUGGCUGUGAUCCUUUUGUGGCAUACUAACUAAAUAUAAAAAACACUUGUGCAAUUUCUGAGCUGAACUUCUGUUUAUAUCUCUUUGGCAUUAUUUUUGACAGGCUUUCCAACUUAUGCAAAUGUGAUAGAUGUUGCCCUCAGAAAAACUCCAUAUCAAAGUGAAGAGCACAAGUGCUUAUGCACAGAUAUGAAAUGUUAUUUUAUUACUAAAAGGGAGAAAGACCAUUAUGAGUUAGUCUAAAAUUGUCCCUUAACUUUAAAAAAUCUUCCCACUCUGCUCUUUCCUUGGUUUUUAAGUAGAGAAACUUUUUUAGCCAUAUAUCUUUCCUUUCUUUGAGUUUGUAACACCAAAUGAUAUUCUGUAGUUUAAAUUGUCAAUUUAAGCUUUGCAUUAAAUAUAGUCCAAGGGCAGGGCUUGAGUUUUAGAUUUCACAUUAAUAUCUUUAUAAAACUAUAAAAAUGUCAGACUUCUGAAAUUAUUGGAAUCUGUAAGGGUAUUGUAGUAAUAUAUAACAUGAUGUUUGUUUCUGGUA